GAUCAGUGAAGUGUUGUGGACUGUAAGCCUGUUGAACAGAAGCAGAGACGAGUGGACAGACACUGACUGUACUGAUGAUGAUCAUCUGCUGCUGCACAGUAAUGAAGUAUAACCCCUGCUGGACAUGGCUCCGGAAGCUCCAGGGGGAGACCGAACUGGUAUCCCCACCUCUCCAGGCACAACUCACUUACUGUCCACUCAUAUUGCAAAGAUCCGGCUGGGAUGGAUCCAGCAAUCAUUAAAGUCAUGGGGCAGCGAUCUUACCACAGAGCCACUGAUCUCAUGUCUGUAUGCCUGCUGGAAUUGAUGUCACUGCUGACCUGUUUCAAUAAAACAAUAUAUAAGUCA